rnacentral:tRNA from 2 species
GGGCCCAUAGCUCAGUGGGAGAGCGCCGCCUUUGCAAGGCGGAGGCCCUGGGUUCGAAUCCCAGUGGGUCCA